AGGGAGGCAAAAAAUGAAACCUCUUAUGGUGGCCGUGGAGGUGGCCGAGGUGGUGGACGAGGAUAUGGACGUGGGCGGGGUGGUGGCAGUGGCUUUGGUCGUGAUUUUUCCAAUGACGAGAACUCAUCUGCCCCUGCUAACCAAGGAUCUUUUGAAGGGGAGGCUGGGAAUCCCUCAGAAAGGCGUGGUUAUGGUGCACCACGCGGGCCUUAUCGUGGCAGUGGUCGUGGUCGUCGUGGAGGUUUUAGCAAUGGUGAAGCUGGUGAUGAUGGACGCCCAAGAAGAGCCUUUGAACGCCACAGUGGGACUGGACGAGGGUAACACUAUAAUGCAUAAAUAACUAAUAUUUGAUUAUUUUAGUUCUGUUUCUCUCUUUCUCUCUAUCUCCACAUAUAUAAUGUUAUCAAUUGAUCUAAUUGCAGAAAUGAAUUCAAACGGGAUGGGGCUGGACGUGGAAACUGGGGUACCCAAUCUGAUGAAAUUGCUCAGUAAGCAGUGUUAAUAGGAAUGAAGAUCUGAUAAGAAAUUCUUCAAAAGAAUCUAUAUAUAUCCAAUUGAACGUUUUUGGUGAUUUCUUUCUUUUGAUAUUAAAUGUGGUAGGGUCACUGAGGAAGUGCCGGAUGAAACGGAAAAGAAUUUUGGUGAUGAGAAGCCUGUAGGUGAGGAAGAUGCUGCAGAUGGAAACAAGGACAGUCCUGCUAAUGAAAAUGAAGAGAAGGAACCAGAGGACAAGGUAAAUAAUCAGUUCCAUUAAAGCUUCCCCAAUUUAUUUUGAUUGUCUUGCUGCAAAGUCUAGGUUUUCUGCAGUUCAUGAUCAGGAGACACAGAAUGUCUUAUGAGUGAGUGUAGGUCAGGCAAAUUAUGCUAUGGUUCUGUAUUGUGCAUCUCACUGUCACUGCAAUCAAAUUAAACUUUGAUUACAUUCUUUUCCAUGCUUGUAUGCAUUAUGCUUUAAGUUGGUUAUAUUCUU
rnacentral:lncRNA from 1 species